CCUACGGGUGGCAGCAGUGAGGAAUAUUGGUCAAUGGACGCAAGUCUGAACCAGCCAUGCCGCGUGAAGGAAGACGGCUCUAUGGGUUGUAAACUUCUUUUAUACGGGGAUAAACGCAUCUACGCGUAGCUUUUUGCAUGUAUCUUACGAAUAAGGAUCGGCUAACUCCGUGCCAGCAGCCGCGGUAAUACGGAGGAUUCGAGCGUUAUCCGGAUUUAUUGGGUUUAAAGGGUGCGUAGGCGGUUUGUUAAGUUAGAGGUGAAAUUCCGAGGCUCAACCGUGGAAUUGCCUCUGAUACUGGUCGGCUAGAGAGUAGUAGAGGUAGGCGGAGUGCAUGGUGUAGCGGUGAAAUGCUUAGAGAUCACAAAGAACACCGAUUGCGAAGGCAGCUUACCAAGCUACAACUGACGCUGAGGCACGAAAGCGUGGGGAGCAAACAGGAUUAGAUACCCGUGUAGUC
rnacentral:rRNA from 1 species